UACGUAGGGUGCAAGCGUUGUCCGGAAUUAUUGGGCGUAAAGAGCUCGUAGGCGGUUUGUCGCGUCUGCUGUGAAAACUCAGGGCUUAACCCUGAGCCUGCAGUGGGUACGGGCAGGACUAGAGUGUGGUAGGGGAGAUCGGAAUUCCUGGUGUAGCGGUGGAAUGCGCAGAUAUCAGGAGGAACACCGGUGGCGAAGGCGGGUCUCUGGGCCGUAACUGACGCUGAGGCGCGAAAGCGUGGGGAGCAAACAGG
rnacentral:rRNA from 1 species